rnacentral:rRNA from 1 species
GACGUAGGGCGCGAGCGUUGUCCGGAUUUAUUGGGCGUAAAGAGCUCGUAGGCGGUGUGUCGCGUCGGCCGUGAAAACUUGCAGCUUAACUGUGGGCGUGCGGUCGAUACGGGCAUCACUGGAGUUCGGCAGGGGAGACUGGAAUUCCUGGUGUAGCGGUGAAAUGCGCAGAUAUCAGGAGGAACACCGGUGGCGAAGGCGGGUCUCUGGGCCGAUACUGACGCUGAGGAGCGAAAGCGUGGGGAGCGAACAGG